GACGAACGCUGGCGGCGUGCUUAACACAUGCAAGUCGAACGGAAAGGCCUCUUUCGGGGGGUACUCGCGUGGCGAACGGGCGAGUAACACACGAGUAACCUGCCCUCGUCUCUGGGAUAACUCCAGGAAACUGGGGCUAAUACCGGACAGGAGCUCCUGUUGCACGGUGGGGGCGGGAGAGAUUCGGGGGUUUGGGGUGGGCUCGCGGCUUAUCAGCUUGUUGGUGGGGUAUUGGUUUAUCAAGGGCUUGGCGGGUAGGCGGCCUGGGGAGGUGAUCGGCCACAUUGGGACUGAGGUGAGGCCCAAGCUCCUACGGGGGGGAACAGUGGGGAAGAUUGCACGAUGGGUGGAAGCCUGGUGCAGCAACGCCGUGGGCGGGAUGACUGCCUUCGGGUUGUAAAACGCUUUCGCUCAUGACGAAGCUUUGUGUGACGGUAGUGGGUAAAGAAGCACCGGCUAACUACGUG
rnacentral:rRNA from 1 species